AUACUCUGGUUUCUCUUCAGGUUGUAUAAAUCUUUUGCCUUUUACUAAAGAUUUCUGUGGAGAGAAACAAUUCUGAGCUUGUACCCAAAUUUUUGAGGCUCUGUCAAUAGGGCU